ACUGAAGAUGAUGUUCUCUUAUUCCUGCACCUGGCAAAGAAGACAAGACAAAAAACCUUGGAAGAGGGUUUAAAAGGUCUACAGUGGAGAGAGAAACUCCAUGUGACAAGUUCAUCUGAGCCUUCAGGAUGCUCACAAUUGAAAGGUAAACAGCUGUAGCUGGAAAGACAUGAGUGACUAAAGUGAGUUUUGUAUGUUUGGGUGUUUAAAAUAGGAGAAAAAAAUAUGAGCUCAAGCUGGGAGGAGGAAGAGUCAUGUGAGCAGAGGAGGCGAAACAGCAAGAGCAUGAAGAGGUGAAAAGAUGAAUCAUGACAAAUCUGCCAAGGCAAAUAGAGAGAUUUGAUGUGAUCAGAUGGGUGUGCAUAUGAUCAGAUGAGGGGAAUGUAAGAGGAAAACAAGAAGUGCAGAAGGAAAAGAUGAUCUUGUAUCAGUAACACCCAAAAUCACAUUCUCUGCUCCAAGUUCUGCCAGUACUGCAUGGCAUAACCACUCAGGGAAUGGGGUUUAGUGCCUACUAGCCACUGGAUGUUGAUAACACAAAUUUCUCGAAGUGCCCUGAAGUUUGUUGAAAACAGAUACUAUAUAAGCAUUAAACUCUUGUAUUUUUGUGCAAUAAAACAAAGAAAACAACAGAAUUCAAAUGAGAUAUUUCCUCCUAUCCUGCUUAAGCAACUAUUUCAACGGAGUUAGAAUCCAAUGAGAAAUACCCAGAUGAUAUCAGUCUUGAAAGCACUGGGACCUUAAAUAAUUUCUGAAUACCUUCACUUUAAUCUUGGCUGACAGAGGUCCCAGUUACACCUGCUAAUGACUCUAAGGAAAAGACAAAAGCUGUUUUGUAUGACGAACCAGGUAAAAUGCCAGCUUUUCUGAGAGUGUACAUAAAAAAAAAAAAGCUGUCAGGAAAAAGGACACAUUAGAAACUAUUCAGACAUUUCAUGUGUGAUUUCAGAUACUGGCUAAAAUGCUCUGUAAGGGAAUCUUUGAAGAAACAAUACAUUGAUUUUAUCAUGAACAUUGAUUUUAUUAUUUUCCCUUCUCGGGUAGGAGCUAAAAGGACCAACUGUGAGGACACAUGGUUCUAAAAAGACUUAUUACUAAUUCACUAAGUACAGAAAAAAACCCAUUAUAUAUUUGCCUAAAUCUCUAUCAUUCUGAAACAUUUCUAAAUUUAAAUUUCUAUGUAUACAUAUUUUAUUGCCUCUUUAGCUAACUAAUUUUACCACUUAAAAACUAAACAUAUCUCUCUUCUCAUUUGUGUUGUUUCUGAAUAACCAUAUAUAACUCUGUCUUAAAACCAGUAAACUGGGUGGAGAUCACCAUGGGGUAUCAGUAAGAAACUGUAGUUAGUGAUUGUUCAGAAAAGGUGGAAAUGGAAUGUGAAAGAGUCAACAGAAAUGUAGCCAUUUCCGUGAAGAGGCAUUGGCAUGAGUUUACAAAGGGAGAGGGAUGAGGCUUCCAGGACAUGAGUUGAGUAACGUUCUACUUUUCUCUCUCUGGGCUGUGGGGAAGGAGAGUCCAAAAUGGAAUCUGUGCCUCUUCAUCUGUGACAACAGCAAGUCCAGGAGUGAGAAAAGUCAGCCACAACUGUCCUCUACCUUCAUCACAGAAUCUGCCCAUAGUGUCUGCUUGCAGGGCUGCAAUUGAAUUUGAUUUGUGGCCACCCCAGGACCACUCUGCUGCCUCCAAGGGUGGGAGAGAUCCACUCAAGCUGCCCCUGAACAGAAGCCAGCACAAGCCUGGCAGAGGUGACUCCUAUAGGUUUUGUGGCUCGCACAAAGUAUGUACGUGCUUCAGUGUCUGAGAGUUGGUUAUGUCUACAUGACAGAAAACAGACUGAAAACAGAGAACUUCAAGUCUGGACUGCAGUUACGCCUCCCAUUUCUGUAUAUAAUUCCAAUUUGGGAUGUUGGUGUUUGGCUAGGACCACUCAGCUACAGUAUGUCAGCGAUGACAUCUGAUACAAACAGAUUUAGGCAUCAGCAAAGAGUAAUCUCAGCAUCUCAUGCAUAAUAUAAGUGCUAAUUAUUAUUAACCUGUUUGCAAUCUAGUUAACUGCAAUUUUUGAAAUACACUGAAAAAAACCUCUCAGAAGAUAUAAUGUAGAGAAGCUUAUGGCUUAUUUGAAAGCUUUUAAAAACUCUGACAUAUAGCAUAUACUUAGUAGCAAUAUUUUCCAAUGGAUAUAGGCAUGCAAAAUGAAAGUCUGAAUUUAGAGAAAAUCAUAUAAGGACUAAGGACUAGUCCAGACAUCUUAGAUGUCUGUUAAGGAAGAGCUUCUUUCUCCCUUAAGUUUAAAACUCGAAGUACAGAAUUCAAAAUGCAAAAUAUGGAUAUGUGUGAAUGUGUAUUAGUAGGCAGGAGACAUUAAUGCAUUUUAUCCUGUCACGCUGCUGAGAUAUACAGUAUCCAGUCCUAUUUUUUUUGGUCUGUAGUUUGAUGGACUCAUUACUGUGCAAAGCAUAAAUUACAUAAAUAGAAUUAAAUAUAUCCUGCAAGAAGUGGGAAAAUAAAAUUAAAUGCUUCUCCAGGCAAGUUGUGUGCAGCAGAUACACCCUGAUUUAUUUUAUUAAGAAAAGCAAGUGAGCACCAUAAAAGCACAGUGCUAACAGACCUCUCAGAAACUGGGAAAUCAGUUACCUGGGUUCACACAGAUGAAAACUGACCAGUGACUUAUUCCUACUCUGAAGCAGUAGAGGAGGCACACCUGCAUAUACUCACUCAUCCCUUCAAACCAAAAUCCCAUAUUUCUUGUUAGUCAGUUGGGUAUCAAUGUCAAACUUUUGCUAGUCAUAAAAGAGGGAAGACAGAUUAAUUAGACUAGCAGUGAGUGCAGAACACUCCACCUCUACCCUGGGUGAGUGCUCAAGCAUCAUUAUUUUGAGGAAAAGCACAUUACUCUGGCAUCAGGCAGAAGAAUUACUACUAUCAGCCCACAGUGCUCUCCGAGGCAUUUUUGCCAGGAAUUGCCUUAGGUGUAAAAAAUGCUACAGGGCGCUUUAGUUUGUCUACUCCAAGUCUAAGUAAGCACUGCUCUUCCUCUGCAGAACACAUACAAUUUACACUUGGUGUAAUAUACAAAUUAAUUCAGUUUCAAAAUAGAGAGAUGACAGUAUGACACUAAAUCUUUGCAAGUAGUUUAUAGUAGAUCCUCCAUAUAAGGCAUCUUAAGAGAAUGUGCCAGGAAAAUUACUCUUCCAUCCUCAUGUACAUUACUCUGUUUAGUAUCUGCAAAAAAAUCCAUUUUUUCCAGGCAUUCUGUGUUCAUCAUAUUAAAGUUCUAAUAAAGAAGCUGGGGAAAAAAGGAAUGUGCUGCAAUAUACAAAUUAAUUUCUCAAGUCACAUGUUAUUAGCAGAUAUUUUUGUUACAGGAAACCAAUCUUUCUGGAGUUUUGAAAUGCUUAAACAAGGAUGGGUAUUUUAAUUGGAACAAGAUGUCUUAUUUAUAAACCUAAAAUUGCCUUGUUAAAUAUAGCAUUUUUGCUCAGUAUUUUUUAUAUUCUUUUAAAGGAGGAAGACUUAACUGGCAAAUAACGCACAGGGCUGCCCUGUGAAGUCUAAACAAAGAUCUUCAACCACCCUUUGCUUGUCUGCUGAGCCAACUGUACACUCAGUUCAGGUACUAAGUGUUAAAAUGCAUGUCUGUAGAAGAGAAUACCAAGCUGGAGGUCUUGAAGACGAUUUCAGCACAGCUGUAGGUAUAUAAGCAUUUCUUAUAGUACCCAAAUGGGACAAUUGCUUCACUUACAAAACAUGAGCCAACAGUCUUGUGUGUAACUCUCCUUUGUGCUCAGCUUCACACAACACCUGUCCUGUACAAAUACAUGAAACAUCCAGGGACACGGGAACAAAAAUGAAGGGAAGUGUGUGCGGUGUUAUUCUUUGGAGCGGAUAGUAGAUUGUCAUGUUUAUGUAGCAAGUAUUUUCACUAUGAUUGUAAAAACCAUCAGUUGUUUUUGAUUCUGCAGAACCUGAGACUGGGAGACCACACAUCAAUGCUGCCACAUGGCUGGUACCCCUAUCACUGCCUGGCUCUAGGAGAAAUAAGGCAGCUUUGCUGAGAAUUAGAAACUGCUAGUGGCUUCAGCAUAGGCAACCCUCAACUCUUGCCAUUAUUUUUUCUCUUCAGAGGCUGGAGAAAGCCCACCUGGCUUCCUGUCUCUUUGUGUGUAUGCACUAAAGAGGUAUUAUUUAUUAAGGAUAUCAAUCUUCUGCAUGCUAGUUUCAUUCUGGGCUUCCUAGUAAAUUAUUAGAGGGUAAACUAUUUUGGAAACAUAUUUCAGCUCUCAUCUUUUAAAUUGCUAUCUCAAUUGUAGUUGGAGCAUGUAAUGCGAAAAAAAUUCUCCAGGAGCAAGAAAGACCUAGGCAAAUCUCUACCACAUAUUCUCCUCCUGUGUUUCUAUACUGGCCAAAAAGGAAAUCACAGCCAACAAUCCUUUAGCAGAACUGCAUCCCCUUUAAAAUCCAUUAAAUUGUGCCUGAAAGAAACCUAGAAAUGUAGAUAGCCUGACAUUAGGGUGCCACACCUCAUAAUCCUUUUGCUAUCUGUGAUGUAUCUGUGAUUUCAAAUGCUUUUUUUAAAGGCUGAUUUUCAGUCUGCUUACACCAGCCCACACCUAGAGCUGUCCCGUCUCAAAGCAAAGAAACUGUAGGACUGUAAUAAUGCUGCAUUAAAAGCAGCCCUUUUGCACACAGUCUAACACAGCAUAAUUGGAGGGGAAAACCCUCUAAGGUUAAGCCUGCUGCUUUAGAUGCCUCCUUGUAUCACUCGAUAUCAAGACAAAGGGUAUGUUAGAUCACGUAGUGUCAAAAUCUUAUUGAUGUCACAGCUAAGUGAUUAAAAUGUCAAUAUGCUUGCUUUUUGUGGUUUUUGCAGAGCCUGAAGUCAGAAUAGUUAAGGGUGUGGGCAGGAAAAUCUUUAAUGCCACAGAUCAGAGCUGAAGAGCUGAGCACCAUGGCUAUCAGACUGGUUAAUUAAGUAGCAGAAAUCAUAGGAAAAAAUCUAAUGUGUUUCAAAUUAAAAUUCUACACUCUUUUCCCUCUCAGCUCUCUUUCCUCUGAAAUUUCACUUCCCUCUAUUCACUCUUCUCUCCUCUCUGUAUUAUUUUGUACACCUUCAAGUGAAAUAAAAGGCAGAAAGGGGGAAGGGAAAGGCAAGCAUGUCUCUCAGUCAUGCCUUGCUAGCAGAAGAAAGCUGUAGACUCACCAUUCCUUAUCCCCUAUGAACAGUGAGUCUAAGUUACACUUUUAUUAGUAACCCAUACAGUCAUGGUGGCUAGCACUGCAAUAAUUCCCAUGUUGUGGAGCUUCACACCACAGAAUUAUGAAUAAACAGCUUCGUGAGGGUCCUCUUUAAGCAAACUGUGUUUGCCAUGUAGUCUUUUGAAAAAUGCAAGUCUUUCUAGCUGCAAAGAUGUUUUAUAAGCCUACUGGAACUACUGCAGAAAUUUACCUUGGCUUGAUAAUGUUCCUCCUACAUGUACUCUCAUCAGAAAGAGAAAGAUGAACACAUGAAUAAAUAAUCAUGAACCACAUAUAUCAUAAAAGGAACCUUCCAUCUGCUCUUUCAGAAGGCAGAAGGGAAGAAAAUGAAGGGAACAAGGGAUAUCUUUUGAUCUGGCACAUGUUCCUAACCACGACAGUAAGAAGGUUCAUGUGACCAAGCGUAAGCACUGAUGCUCUCUCCAUAUACAGCCUCCCUCAAGAAACAUUGUCCCCCUCUCCACAGCCUCCCAUUUUAUUUUUCAAACCACUAAAUGAAGAUUUUAGUCUGGCUACAAAAGCAUAAAAAGUGAAUUGUAAAGAAGCUCAGAAAAACAAAUGAUAUGCUCUCAUAAAACAAAGAAUGCACCUCUGAUAAGAAGGUUUUGCUUAACAAACCUUAACCAAAGAAUCUGUUCCAAUUAUCAAUUAAACAGGGAAAAAGGAAUAUAAUAAUAAUAAUAAUAAUAAUAAUAAUAAUAAUAAUAAUAAUAAUAAUAA